ACCUUGGUAGUCUAAAAACUUAGGACUCUCGUACGAAAUUCUAGAGAUCCGGGUUCGAUUCCCAGCUGAGGUA
rfam:Atta cephalotes unplaced genomic scaffold scaffold00009, whole genome shotgun sequence.